rnacentral:rRNA from 1 species
GGGGAAAAAUUUAUUGCUAUUAGAUGAGCCUAUAUUAGAUUAGCUAGUUGGUGGAGUAAUAGCCUACCAAGGCAAUGAUCUAUAGCUGAUCUGAGAGGAUGAUCAGCCACACUGGAACUGAGAUACGGUCCAGACUCCUACGGGAGGCAGCAGUGGGGAAUAUUGGACAAUGGGCGAAAGCCUGAUCCAGCCAUGCCGCAUGAGUGAAGAAGGCCUUUGGGUUGUAAAGCUCUUUUAGUGAGGAAGAUAAUGACGGUACUCACAGAAGAAGUCCUGGCUAACUCCGUGCCAGCAGCCGCGGUAAUACGGAGAGGGCUAGCGUUAUUCGGAAUUAUUGGGCGUAAAGGGCGCGUAGGCUGGUUAAUAAGUUAAAAGUGAAAUCCCGAGGCUUAACCUUGGAAUUGCUUUUAAAACUAUUAAUCUAGAGAUUGAAAGAGGAUAGAGGAAUUCCUGAUGUAGAGGUAAAAUUCGUAAAUAUUAGGAGGAACACCAGUGGCGAAGGCGUCUAUCUGGUUCAAAUCUGACGCUGAAGCGCGAAGGCGUGGGGAGCAAACAGGAUUAGAUACCCUGGUAGUCCACGCUGUAAACGAUGAAUGUUAAAUAUGGGAAGUUUACUUUCUGUAUUACAGCUAACGCGUUAAACAUUCCGCCUGGGGACUACGGUCGCAAGAUUAAAACUCAAAGGAAUUGACG